UACGGGGGGGGCAAGCGUUGUCCGGAAUCAUUGGGCGUAAAGCGCGUGUAGGCGGCCAGAAAAGUCCGCUGUGAAAACUCGAGGCUCAACUUCGAGCUGUCGGUGGAAACUUUCUGGCUAGAGUCCGGAAGAGGAGAAUGGAAUUCCUGGUGUAGCGGUGAAAUGCGCAGAUAUCAGGAAGAACACCCGUGGCGAAGGCGGUUCUCUGGGACGGUACUGACGCUGAGACGCGAAAGCGUGGGGAGCGAACAGG
rnacentral:rRNA from 1 species